rnacentral:rRNA from 1 species
ACGAACGCUUGCGGCGUGCUUAACACAUGCAAGUCGAACGGAAAGGCCCUGCUUUUGUGGGGUGCUCGAGUGGCGAACGGGUGAGUAACACGUGAGUAACCUGCCCUUGACUUUGGGAUAACUUCAGGAAACUGGGGCUAAUACCGGAUAGGAGCUCCUGCUGCAUGGUGGGGGUUGGAAAGUUUCGGCGGUUGGGGAUGGACUCGCGGCUUAUCAGCUUGUUGGUGGGGUAGUGGCUUACCAAGGCUUUGACGGGUAGCCGGCCUGAGAGGGUGACCGGCCACAUUGGGACUGAGAUACGGCCCAGACUCCUACGGGAGGCAGCAGUGGGGAAUAUUGCACAAUGGGCGGAAGCCUGAUGCAGCAACGCCGCGUGCGGGAUGACGGCCUUCGGGUUGUAAACCGCUUUCGCCUGUGACGAAGCGUGAGUGACGGUAAUGGGUAAAGAAGCACCGGCUAACUACGUG